UACGUAGGGGGCAAGCGUUGUCCGGAUUCAUUGGGCGUAAAGAGCGUGUAGGCGGCCAGGUAGGUCGGUUGUGAAAACUGGAGGCUCAACCUUCAGAGGUCGACCGAAACCAUCUGGCUAGAGUCCGGGAGAGGAGAGUGGAAUUCCCGGUGUAGCGGUGAAAUGCGCAGAUAUCGGGAGGAACACCUAUGGCGAAGGCAGCUCGCUGGGACGGCACUGACGCUGAGACGCGAAAGCGUGGGGAGCAAACAGG
rnacentral:rRNA from 1 species